AGUGAACGCUGGCGGCAGGCCUAACACAUGCAAGUCGAACGGCAGCACAGUAAGAGCUUGCUCUUACGGGUGGCGAGUGGCGGACGGGUGAGGAAUACAUCGGAAUCUACUUUUUCGUGGGGGAUAACGUAGGGAGACUUACGCUAAUACCGCAUACGACCUACGGGUGAAAGCAGGGGAUCUUCGGACCUUGCGCGAUUGAAUGAGCCGAUGUCGGAUUAGCUAGUUGGCGGGGUAAAGGCCCACCAAGGCGACGAUCCGUAGCUGGUCUGAGAGGAUGAUCAGCCACACUGGAACUGAGACACGGUCCAGACUCCUACGGGAGGCAGCAGUGGGGAAUAUUGGACAAUGGGCGCAAGCCUGAUCCAGCCAUACCGCGUGGGUGAAGAAGGCCUUCGGGUUGUAAAGCCCUUUUGUUGGGAAAGAAAAGCAGCAGGUUAAUACCCCGCUGUUCUGACGGUACCCAAAGAAUAAGCACCGGCUAACUUCGUG
rnacentral:rRNA from 1 species